GUUUGAGAAAUGUUCCCAAGUUGAUCCUGAAGCUAUGUUUUAACAGGCUCUGAGAGGGUGGUAUAGGCAGCAGAAAGCCGUGGAGAGGGUCACUGAAAGAGUGAAUCAGAGGAUGGAAAGGAGGAGUAAGCAGAAGACUGGAACUCUGCUCAGCUGAGCCAAUGGCACUGGGAAUUGGCAAGAGUCUCAUCACCAUAACGAGGAGAAGAAAAACUGUGAUGAUGGUUGCUGCCAGCUUAUAUAGCAGCUGUGUUGAUGCCAGUAGCAGCGCGAUUCUUUGAUCAACCUGUCCAGACCCUCAGCUCCUCCAGUCCAGUUUCUCAUCAGCUAAGGAGAACAAACAAGUGCCAAGAUGUCUGAAAAAAAGAUGAGUUCAAGCCGCAAGCAUCAUCUGAAGAGCGUAAUGCUUUCAAUUGCCGCAACGCGGCUUGAAGAGGAAGCAGCUGAUGCUAUAACUGCAAAGGCAGCAUACAUGAAUGAGAACUGCCCAGAGCUCUCUCUUCCCAGUGGGGUGGAGGAACUACAGAAAUUAUGCAAAGACCUACAUUCGAAGAUUGACAAAGUCGACGAGGAGAGAUACGACGCAGAAGGCAAAGUGACAAAGGGAGCAAAAGAGGUUGAAGACCUGAUGUUUAAGGUAGUAGAAAUAAAGGGUAUGAAGAAGCCAGCUCUGAAGAAAGUGCGCUUGUCCGCUGAUCAGAUGCUUCAGGCUCUGCUGGGCUCCAAGCACAAGGUCAGCAUGGACCUGAGAUCCAACCUGAAGCAGGUGAAGAAGGAGGUCAAGGAGGAGCCUGCAGACGCUGUUGGUGACUGGCGUAAGAAUGUUGACGACAAGGCUGGCAUGGGUGGCAGGAAGAAGAUGUUUGAGGGAGCUGAGGCGUAAAUUUGAGAGCCUGACGAAAUUGAUAUCUGACACAACAACAUGGACAAAGUGAAUGGCAGGAAGAAGAUGUUUGAGGGCGCUGAGGUGUAAAUUUGAG